GCGGUACGUUAUCGGAUUCUGGGCGUAAGCGCACGCUAGGCGGUCUGUCAAGUCGGAUGUGAAAUCCCCGGGCUCAACCUGGGAACUGCAUUCAAAACUGGCAAGCUUGAGUCUCGUAGAGGGGGGUAGAAUUCCAGGUGUAGCGGUGAAAUGCGUAGAGAUCUGGAGGAAUACCGGUGGCGAAGGCGGCCCCCUGGACUAAGACUGACGCUCAGGUGCGAAAGCGUGGGGAGCAAACAGGAUUAGAUACCCUGGUAGUCCACGCCGUAAACGAUGUCUAUUUGGAGGUUGUGCCCUUGAGGCGUGGCUUCCGGAGCUAACGCGUUAAAUCGACCGCCUGGGGAGUACGGCCGCAAGGUUAAAACUCAAAUGAAUUGACGGGGGCCCGCACAAGCGGUGGAGCAUGUGGUUUAAUUCGAUGCAACGCGAAGAACCUUACCUGGUCUUGACAUCCACAGAACUUGCCAGAGAUGCCUUGGUGCCUUCGGGAACUGUGAGACAGGUGCUGCAUGGCUGUCGUCAGCUCGUGUUGUGAAAUGUUGGGUUAAGUCCCGCAACGAGCGCAACCCUUAUCCUUUGUUGCCAGCGGUCCGGCCGGGAA
rnacentral:rRNA from 1 species